AACCCUCCGGCCUGUGUGUUACAAGUGUCACACGGAACUGCCGGUCAUAAACCGGAGGAAGGUGGGGAUGACGUCAAGUCAGCAUGGCCUUUAUAUCCUGGGCUACACACACGCUACAAUGGGAAGGGACAAUAGGUUGCGAAGCCGCGAGGCGGAGCCAAUCCAGCAAAACUUCCCUCAGUUCAGAUUGCAGGCUGCAACCCGCCUGCAUGAAGUUGGAGUUGCUAGUAAACGCAGGUCAGCCAUACUGCGUUGAAUACGUUCCCGGGGCUU
rnacentral:rRNA from 1 species